rnacentral:rRNA from 1 species
AUGAUUCAGGCGACGUCCGGCGAAUCCCGCCAUCGCGAAGCACAGCCCGAGCUCCCCUCGGACCGCGACACCCUCCCAUCCAGCUAUAUCCAGCACUCAAGGCCACCAAAGCCCACCCGCGACCCUCCCCCCAUGGCUAGAGUUUCGGGCAUCUUGUCCUCACCCAUGGACAUGCCGUCCUCCUCUCGUCCGGGAGGAACGACCAGUGGACACCUUGCUACUGCUCGGGGACGAAGCGGCCAUGGAGAUUCCUCCUCUGCUCCCAAGUCCUUAAUCUGUCGCAAUUAA